AAUCAACGCUGGCGGCGCGCUUAACACAUGCAAGUCGCACGAGGAAAGUGGAGCAAUCCAUGAGUACAGUGGCGUACGGGUGAGUAACACGUGGGUAAUCGUAUCUCUUAGUGGGGAAUAACUCUGGGAAACCGGAGCUAAUACCGCAUAAGCCUGGAAAGGGAAAGCAGCAAUGCGCUGAGAGAGGAGCCCGCGGCCGAUUAGCUAGUUGGUAGGGUAAAGCCUACCAAGGCAAUGAUCGGUAGCCGGCCUGAGAGGGCACACGGCCACACUGGCACUGAAACACGGGCCAGACUCCUACGGGAGGCAGCAGUGGGGAAUCUUGCACAAUGGGGGCAACCCUGAUGCAGCGACGCCGCGUGAGCGAUGAAG
rnacentral:rRNA from 1 species